CCUACUUAUUAUUGUGUGGAUACAGUAGGGCAACUUAGUACGAGAGGAACCGUUGCUCCAAGCCCCUGGUAAUGCAGUUAGUUGAGAAACUAGUAUUGCAAUGCUACGUUUGUAGGAUAAUGACUGAACGCCUCUAAGUCAGAAUCCUAGCUGGAGUUGUUACACUUACUGAUGAGUGUUUUCUUGAGUAGCAAUUCAAUGUUCAGGG
rnacentral:ncRNA from 1 species